GCGGGGAUAGCUCAGUUGGGAGAGCGUCAGACUGAAGAUCUGAAGGUCGCGUGUUCGAUUUUCGCUCACCGCA
rfam:Brassica oleracea var. oleracea cultivar TO1000 chromosome C8, whole genome shotgun sequence